GGAUGUGAGGCAAUCUAGUCGCCACAUCUGUCACCCCAAUGAUUUGGUUGAUCUGGCUGGUUAGGUGGGAGUCCCCUUCUUCCCCCACAACUCCAUUUGUUUCCCCCUCCAAGCUGUACCCCUUUCGAAGAGGACAACCUUCCCUGAUAAAGGAAGACUAUUCUUCUGUCAAGGGUAUACAAGUGGCUGUGCUUCCUACUAGAACCUCCAGACAAACUUGCAAGAUUGAUCUGUAGGAGAAUGUAGGGUAGUGGAGCUUCCAAGUCUCCAGACACAACCAGAUAAAGUGCUGCAUAUGGCAGUCUGCCUUUCUUC
ensembl:misc_RNA 7SK 7SK RNA